GACGAACGCUGGCGGCGUGCUUAACACAUGCAAGUCGAACGGAAAGGCCCUGCUUUUGUGGGGUGCUCGAGUGGCGAACGGGUGAGUAACACGUGAGUAACCUGCCCUUGACUUUGGGAUAACUUCUGGAAACUGGGGCUAAUACCGGAUAGGAUCUCUUGCUGCAUGGUGGGGGUUGGAAAGUUUCGGCGGUUGGGGAUGGACUCGCGGCUUAUCAGCUUGUUGGUGGGGUAGUGGCUUACCAAGGCUUUGACGGGUAGCCGGCCUGAGAGGGUGACCGGCCACAUUGGGACUGAGAUACGGCCCAGACUCCUACGGGAGGCAGCAGUGGGGAAUAUUGCACAAUGGGCGGAAGCCUGAUGCAGCAACGCCGCGUGCGGGAUGACGGCCUUCGGGUUGUAAACAGCUUUCGCCUGUGACGAAGCGUGAGUGACGGUAAUGGGUAAAGAAGCACCGGCUAACUACGUG
rnacentral:rRNA from 1 species